GCCCUGGUAGCACAAUGGUUAAGUGCUCAGCUGCUAACUGAAAGUUGGUGGUACAAACCCACCCAGUGGCU
rnacentral:tRNA from 1 species